rnacentral:rRNA from 1 species
GGGUGCGAUCAUACUAGCAUUAAUGCACUGGAUCCCAUCAGAACUCCGCAAUUAAGCGUGCUUGGUCUAUAGUAGUACUGGGAUGGGUGACCUCCCGUGAAGUCCUAGUGUUGCACCCU